AUCCACCCUUUCAUGAUUCACCCCGAAUUUGUCCCAAAAAUUAUUUUAUUUUUAAAAAAUAUCUCUAAAAAAUAAUGAAUUUACAACAAAAAUUAAAAUAUAAAUAAUUAGUGCUAUCAUUUCUCAUUUAUUUGAAAUUUUUGAAUUUUACUCUGAAUUGUGAUUGAUUUUUUUUUAUAAUUGAUGUUAUUAAUUAUAUAUAUAAUAUUAUUAAAAAUUAUUAAUUUAUAUUUUAUAAAAUAUUAAUAAUAUUAUAAUUUUAUAAAAAAUAUUAGUUGGCAGGGACGGAUUCGGAGCACCGGCGGCGGAAGGCGGGUUACAAUGCGGGACAUAUUAUGAGAUAUAUUUUUUAAUCCGUCACGAAUUCGGAACGGAAGGCAUGACGGAAUUUUGAUAGUUGGGACGGUAAGCGGGGCGGGG
rnacentral:lncRNA from 1 species